rnacentral:rRNA from 1 species
UGAGCUUGAUCCUGGCUCAGGAUGAACGCUAGCGGCAGGCUUAACACAUGCAAGUCGAGGGGUAGAAGUCUUCGGACUUUGAGACCGGCGCACGGGUGCGUAACGCGUAUGCAAUCUACCUUUUACAGAGGGAUAGCCCAGAGAAAUUUGGAUUAAUACCUCAUAGUAUAAUGACUCGGCAUCGAGAUAUUAUUAAAGUCACAACGGUAAAAGAUGAGCAUGCGUCCCAUUAGCUAGUUGGUAAGGUAACGGCUUACCAAGGCUACGAUGGGUAGGGGUCCUGAGAGGGAGAUCCCCCACACUGGUACUGAGACACGGACCAGACUCCUACGGGAGGCAGCAGUGAGGAAUAUUGGACAAUGGGCGCAAGCCUGAUCCAGCCAUGCCGCGUGCAGGAUGACGGUCCUAUGGAUUGUAAACUGCUUUUAUACGAGAAGAAACACUACUUCGUGAAGAGCUGACGGUUC